GUAGGUGGCAAGCGUUGUCCGGAAUUAUUGGGCGUAAAGCGCGCGCAGGCGGUCCUUUAAGUCUGAUGUGAAAGCCCACGGCUCAACCGUGGAGGGUCAUUGGAAACUGGGGGACUUGAGUACAGAAGAGGAAAGCGGAAUUCCAAGUGUAGCGGUGAAAUGCGUAGAGAUUUGGAGGAACACCAGUGGCGAAGGCGGCUUUCUGGUCUGUAACUGACGCUGAGGCGCGAAAGCGUGGGGAGCAAACAGGAUUAGAUACCCUGGUAGUCCACGCCGUAAACGAUGAGUGCUAAGUGUUAGGGGGUUUCCCGCCCCCCUUAGUGCUGCAGCUAACGCAUUAAGCGCCCCGCCUGGGGGAGUACGGCCGCAAGGCUG
rnacentral:rRNA from 1 species